rnacentral:lncRNA from 1 species
CGGGUACCUCCUCAACUUAACUUCGGCGAAUACGAAAACUUGGUUAGAGACAACCUCAACCAAGCAAGAAACAUCCUGCACUAUACUAUCAAAGCGCUCUUUCUCAUGAGCUGUUCGACAUUACGAUACUUGAAUUAAAAGCGAAUUUUCAAGAUAAACCUUUCGAUCUCUUGAUGACUGAACCCAAUGAACGCCUCCUCCUCAUUUUUAGAGAAUCUCCUUUUCAGGAAAGGGCAAUACGGCCCGAGGCUUUAUAAUUUCUUGAGGGGAGACUCGACUUGUUAAAUCUCGGGAAUCCCCAUCCUCAUGCCUAUCCAGAGAAAGUGAUCUUAC